GCCUGCCCUCCCCUAUUCCCGGCCACACACUGGCACCUAUCGCCCAUGCUGCUCUGGAGACGUAAAGCCUCGGAUAUACUCCAUACUGUUUACGACAGAAGCGAAAAGAAUGUCUCCCGGGAGUGGAGGGAAGCGGCGGGGUGUGCGGCGCCCAUAGUGUGUGCCCGGUCCCCUCACCCUCCAUAGCAUCGGUGAGGGCCCCUGGGACUCCCAGGAACAGCAUAUAAGAAGAAAGGCAGCAAAUGUGCACAAAAAAAGGAGACAAAUGUGGAAAAUAAGACUAAAAUGAACUUACCAGACAUUGGAGAAGAUUAAUAGUUUUCUCUCUGAUUUCAAAGAAGGAAUCCCCAGGGAUGUUGCAGUCUUGUACAGGGAGAUUAUUCCCUUCUAUAAAGGCAAAAAAGGCUCAAGAGUGUAAUUUCUUUAAAUUUCAUGAAAUAAAGCAAGUCCCUGUGCUGUAAUGGAGACUGAGGAUAUAGCAUACAAAUGUAUUAUGGCUACAGAUAUAGGUUUGGAUUUUUUCCCCACCAUGCCAUCUAUUUAAAAACUCUAGAAACCAAUGAUUUGACAAUCAAUGAUUGCGCGAUAGUUUCAAUUUGAAUAUUCAAAGCCCUAACAAAAAGACAGAUCUUUUGGUGAAACAAAGCCCUUGUGCCUGUAACUGAGGGUCUUUGGGAAUAAGAUUUGAUGUCAAACCCUCCCCCCGGGCUUUUUCCGAAGAAAUUUUUAAAAUUUUAUAAAGCUUUCCCCAAAAUUAGCAGUAAGAAGACAAAUAAGCCAGUAAGUAUAGAGCAGAGACUUGCAGAUCCCCAGUCACUUGUUUAGAUGUGAGAGCUAGGUGUAUGGGAUCUUAUGGUGCAGGUAGCAGAUUUUGGGGGGUCACAUAGGGCUGAUUAGAGGGGUUUUUGGGGGAUACAAGGCAGGUAGGCCAGCAGGGGGCGUGGCUGCUGAGCAUUGUGUCAUUGUAUGAGAGGAGCAGGCCAGGCGCCUCACACUUUCUGCUUCUCUGCUCAUGUGCAGCAUAUUAUUGCUAACUUUACACCUCUAUCCAAGAAUUAUACACAAUAUUACAAGAUAUAGGAUGCACAAAAUGAAUUAGAUUGUUCUAAAACUGCUACUUUUUAUUAUUUAUUUUACCUAAGGCAAAUUGUAUAUGCAAUCAGUGCAAGUGCUUAUAUAGAUUUUGAAUUCUACUUAAUGCAUGAACCCUAUAUUAGCUUAUAUAACAUAUUUCAGAAGUUCAUGCAUAUGUGCAUGUAGCUUUAUAAUGUGGAAUACGCACACAAACCUCAAGUGACAGUGUUGUUGAUGCCAAGCUGCAAUGGGGGGGACCUUGUCAUCACCACUUUUUCUAUUUUAUUUGUAAUAAAGUAAUCCCUGACAUCAUUAUAGGGUGGGCACAUGUAUAGCAGUCUAAGAGUAAGGUGUGCAAAGUUUUAGUAAUUUGAAUAAAUAAGCAUAUAGAUAAAUAGGUGGUCAGCAGCACAAGGAGCCUGUGUGUGUAUAUAUAUAUAUAUAUAUAUAUAUAUAUAUAUAUAUAUAAUUGAUUUUUAUUUAUUUAUUUGAUUUUUUUAGCACCAUUUAUAAAGAUUGGAUUAUCCAACAUUUCAAUGUGAGCCCCUGUGUGUCCUAUAGUGAUAGCAUGAUGGAUAACAGACAUGUUCGCACACAACCUAACACAGUCCUGUACAAAACCACUUAAUGCUACAAUCAGUAUAUAAACCACAGCACAUAUAUAACACUUGCACAAGGCACUUAUCCCUAUACUGUGCACACACUUGUAUACAUCCACACACCUUCCUCAGUUCACCCUUGUCAUAUCUGAUGUUCACACAUUCAGGUUUUUAAUUGUAAUUAUUGAAUAUAAAGCCAGGAACAAAUCCAAAAAAAGAGGACACACUACGGAAUUUCCGGGCGGAAUUUGCCACAUAAAUUCCUUUACAUACUGCUUAAUUUCUUCGACAAACAAAUUCUGCUGAAAGAACGAGCAUGUCGGAUAUGCAAUGCCAUCCAUUAUGAUGGUGCAUUAGUUACCUUUUAUGGGGGUUGUUACCCAAUCCAUGCUAUUGAUAAUUUCCAAUGAAUAUAUGUGACUUAAGAAAAAUAGAAAUGUCAUUGUAAGGGCAGGUCAAUAUCAGUGCAAGUGUGGGUUAGCCAAAGUAGAAUUAUACCCAUAUCCAUAUUUUUUAUAUUUUUAGAUAGAUCGAUGUUAUACAUGCAUGUAUGAUUCUAAUUCAGAUUCCAUACGCAAACAUUUUGUGCGAUCAAGUUUGUUCAUACUGUGAAUAGUAAUGGUUACAGUGCCACCUACUGCUAAAAAGGAGCAUGGCAUCUAGUUAUUGGUUUGCACACUUCUAUAUAUGUCUCUUUCCUAAUAACCAGAGUUUACUUUUUGCUAUAACAUAUACAGAGUAAAGCUAUAUAAAUGGUUGAGCCUAAUCUUCAUUUCUAUCUAUCUCAUAUCUAUCGAUCUCAUAUUUAUCUAUCUAAUAUCUAAAUGGUUGAGCCUAAUCUUCUUAAAUAUUCUGCUUUACCGAGACUGCACGGAUUUUUAGUUGUUUAAUUUUUCUUAAAAUUCUGAUGGAUAUCCAUCAAGUGAAAUAUGAAACCACAGUUAGUUAAUGUAUACAUCAAUAGAUAUAUGGAAAAGAGGCCAAAAUCUAAAAACACAAUACAUUAUUUUGUUAAAAAGUCUAAAGGCCCUGGUUAACAAAAGCAACUCACAUAAUCAGAGAACAUUUAAGAACAUUUUGCACAAUUACAGGUGAAACUGCACUUUUUUAUUUUUUUAUUUUUUAUUUUUUUAAUGAAUACCCACAAAGGCCAAAAGCUAUUACAGGAAAAAGGCUGUCCAACAUAGGGGAAAAAAGAAUGUAUGACACUGCUGUAUGGUAGCAAAAAGGGACAAAACAAUGGUGGUGUGAUGGAGCACCAUAUCCAACAUGGUACCUCCAUCCAGGAUUCCCUUCUUCUUUCCCCAGGACUCUGGAGAUUAUAGCCGCUGACAUAGCAAAGGCAACCAGGUAGAUCUUUCUCUGUCUAAAGAACUGGAAGACAGUCUAACCACAGUGCUCUCUGCUGCCACCUCUGUUCCUGUCAGGAACUGACCAGCGCAGUAGAAGUUUGCUAUGGGGAUUUGCUCCUACUCUGGACAGUUCCUGAUGCUGACAGAGGUGUCAGCAGAGAGCACUGUGGUCAGACUUGGAAGAACUACACAACUUCCUCUGGAGCAUACAGCAGCUGAUAAGUACUGGAAGGGUUAAGAUUUUUAAAUAGAAGAAAUUUACGAUUAACUUUUUGGCACCAGUUAAUUUGAAAACAUUUGUUUUCCACUGGAGUACCCACUUUAUUGACAAACAUCUCAAUUUAUAUAGUGGCAAAACAGUAGGGGGUCUAUAUAGAAUACAAUGGCAAUGGAUACGUCAGUGAAAAUUUCAUGCUGACGUAUCUAUGUUCGGACGGGCACUGGCCCCAUUCAUUUCAAAAGAAUGUAGUCAGUGACUAUGUUGGUGUCAUUUUCCGAAUGUAUCCAAGCUUUGACUGAAAAGCACUGCAAACCUCUCUUCUCAUUCCAAGCCAAAACUUGUAUACAUUUGGAAAAUGCUCUGAAUGUAGUCACUAGCUGACUACACUCAGGCCACUGAAAUGACUAGAGCCUGUGACGGUCUGAGCAUGUCAUUCUGACAGUUUCCCAAUGUAUUCAUGCCUUGGAGGCACAAAUUGUGUUGUGAACCUGGCCUAAAGCAUACAGUUCUCUUCAUGUAGGAAGCAUAUGUUACGUAUAGGUGCCUGUUCCCCUGGGAUGGUAUUCUAAAAAAGUGCUCCCAUAGCUAGUUGUGAAACAAAGUUAUCAGCCCUAAUAGAUUGAUCGGGAUUUGUCACUUUAGGUACUUGAGAGAGAGUUUCAGAGAAGUUGGUGGUAAGUCUCGGUAAGCCCAGUUCUCUCUUCCUGGCCACCAGGAAGAAAUUUGAGGGUGGAACUGGGUGCUUGGCCAUGGGCAUGCCAGAAGAGUACAAGGUAGAGGACCAGUUUUGCGGGGUUCCCUUACAGGGAAUAUGUAACACCUUUCCAACGUUUAGAAGCUGAAAAUAGACAAAAUUAUUAAAAUGCAUUAAUUCCUCAUUUUAUAAAAAAUAUAGAAAGGAAAUGCAAAGAACUAUACAAUACAGGUAUGCAUUGCAUGUUCUAGGACGGUUCUGAUGUGACCUUGUCUUUGUCCUUGUUACCCGAGUCAUCAAACCUUUUUAGUCUCUUAAAGUGUUUUUUAUUUAUUUAUUACAAAACAGAUAUCCGGCACUGCAAAGAAACACAAACCCCCAGGCUUAGCGAUGAACGACACUCCUGCACCCGUGGAAGUGUACAGUGGUGACCUGACCAUUUCUCCAGCAAAGACAUAUAUCACUCUCAAGAAGUAACAAAGACCGUCGACACUCACCACAUCUUCUUUAUUAAAUACUCACAUAAAUUACAAUGGGGGAGGAUGGUAGGUAAGGGGGUACAAAGAAGAUGUGGUGAGUGCUGACGGUCUUUGUUACUUUUCCAUUUAUUUAUUUUUUUAUUACAGAUAGACUUUAAAGGAGGGAAAUGUGCUGGCAAGUCGCCCUGUGAUGACAGGUGAACAAGGACCCUGUAGAUAAGGAUGGCAUUAUAAAGAUAAUGAUGCCUGUGUGACACACAAUCCGGAGUGCAGCAACCAGCAGAUUUACAAUACAACGUGGUUGGAGAUGGCUCGUUUCUGUACCUUGAACGGGACAAACUUACACAACAGCAACAGGGGUUAUCGGCAAGUGUUAUUAUUAUUUUUUAUUUUUUAUGCACUAUUAUUUUUAUUGAAUAUUUUUUUAAUUAAAUUACACAAGACUCUGUAUGAAGGGCAUAUAGGGACAACCUUGCGUUCCGGUACUUAAAGACCGAGUGCGUACCUGUACGCCCUGGUCCCGUUACCAGGGAUUAAAGCAUCCUCACGAGCGGAGAACACUUCAAGCCUGGUGGGUCCUGGUUGCUAUUAGCAGCCAGGACCCAUGGUCAAUGCUGGACAUUGCGGAUCGGGAGAUCCGCGGCAUAAUCGUAGGUCCCGAUCAGCUGAGAGGAUGAUGGGAGGGCACUUACCUGCCCCCUCGCCAUCCGAUCAGUGCUCUGAGGCUCUGGCCAGCGAUUGCAGGCUAGAGCAGCAGAGCACCGAUAACACUGAUAAAUGCUAUGCUAUGUCAUAGCCAUGAACAGUGUAUGCAAUUUACAGAUUACAGGGUAUAGCUCCCUAUGGGGACUAAAAACAAAAUGUAAAAAAAAAAGUUAAUAAAAAUAAAUUUUUUAAAGAAAAUUAUGUAAUCAAAUAUAAACAUAAUCAUAUGUGAUACCGCUGCGUGCGUAAAUUAAAACUAUUAAAAUAUAAGGUUAGUUAAACCGCAUGGUCGAUGGUGUACAUGUAAAAAAACACCAAAUUCCAAAACUGCAUUUCUGAUCACUUCAUAUACCAUAAAAUCCUAAUAAAAGCGAUCAAAAAGUCACAUCAAAAUGAAAAUAAUACCAAUAAAAACUACAGAUCACAGCGCAAAAAAUAAGCCCUCAUAUAGCCCUGCAUGCGGAAAAAAAAAAGUUAUGGGGGUCAUAAGAUGACAAUUUUAAACAUACUAAUUUUGGAGCAUGUAAUUAUAAUUUUUUUUAACCCCAUAAGGACUCAGCGUUUUUCACUUUUUGCAUUUUCGUUUUUUCCUCCUUACCUUUUAAAAAUCAUAUCCCUUUCAAUUUUCCACCUAAAAAUCCAUAUUAUGGCUUAUUUUUUGCGCGUUUUUCGGGAAAAGAGGCGUGUUCCCUACAUUUCAUCCAAAAUCACUCAUCUUUUCUGAAAACUACUCUGAAAAUCAUGUGAAUUCUCUGGGAAGAAAACCCUACACUUUAAAGCAUGUAUAAAGUUUCCGAAAUCAGAGUAAAUUAGUAAAUUCCAUGGAAAAAAAAGGUCAGAACUGCAAAAAACACAACAAAACCUACACUCCACUCACAGUAAAUCAGGGCCAUGGUGUCAUUUUUACCCCAAAUUGCACUGUGUAGAAAUGGAAACCCCCAAAAGUUACAAAAUAACUUUUUAUUUUUUCAAUUUCAUCCCACAAAUAUAUAUAUAUAUUUUUUGGUUUUGCUGUAGAUUUUGUUAUUAAAUGAUUGAUGUCAUUACAAAGUACAAUUGGUGAUAAAAAAUGAGCCCUUAUUUAGGCCUGUAGGGGCAAAAGUGAAAACAUUAUGCUUUUUAGGAUGGGAGAAGAAAAAAACGAAAGUGCAAAAACUAAAAUUGGCCUUGUCCUUAAGGUCAAAAUGGGCUGUGUCUUUAACCCCUUAAGGACCCGGGCUUUUUCCAUUUUCAAUUUUUCCUCCUUAACUUUAAAAAAUCAUAACUCUUUAAAAUUUUCACCUAAAAUUCUAUAUGAUGGCUUAUUUUUUGCGUCACUAAUUUUACUUUGUAAGGACAUUAGUCAUUUUACCCAAAAAUCUACGGUGAAACGGGAAAAAAAAUCAAUGUGCGACAAAAUUGAUCAAAAAACACUAUUUUGUAAGUUUUGGGGGCUUCCGCUUUUACGCAGUACAUUUUUCAGCAAAAAUUAUACCUUAUCUUUAUUCUGUAGGUCCAUACAGUUAAAAUUAUACCCUACUUGUAUAGGUUUGAAUUUGUAUCACUUCCGAAAAAAAAUCAUGAAUACAUGCAGGAAAAUGUAUAUGUUUAAAAUGGUCAUUUUCUGACCCCUAUAACUUUUUUAUUUUUCUGUGUUCAGGGCGCUAUGAUGGCGAAUUUGUUGUGCCAUGAUCUGAAGUUUUUAGCGGUACCAUUUUUGUUCUGAUCAGACUUUUUGAUCACUUUUUAUUCACUUUUUUGUGGUAUAAAAAGUGAUCAAAAAUGCGCUAUUUUGGAAUUUGGAAUUUUUUUGCGCGUACGCCAUUGAACGUGCGGUUUAAAAAGCGAUAUAUUUUUAUAAUUCGGACAUUUCUGCACGCGGUGAUACCACAUAUGUUUAUUUUUAUUUACACUGUGUUUUUUUCUUUUUGGAAAUGCCGGGUGAUUCAAACUUUUAUUAGGGGAAGGGAUAAUUGAAAGGGUUAAUGAUGUUUUUUACACUUUUCUAAUGCAAUAUUAUAGCUCUUAUAGGGGGGGGGGGGGGGGGGCUAUAACAUUGCAUUAACUGAUCUUUUACACUGAUUGAUCCAUCUCCAUAGGAAUGGAUCAAUCAGUGUUUUCGGCGAUUGAAUGCUCAAGCCUGGAUCUCAGGCUUGAAGCAUUCAUUCGGCAAUCGGAUUAUACCGCAGCGAUCCUGAACAGCUCCCUGAGCUAGCCGGGCACUUUUACUUUCGUUUUUAGCUGCGCGGCUCAGCUUUGAGCGCACGGCUAAAGGGUUAAUAGCGUGCGGCACCGCGAUCAGUGCCGCACGCUAUUAGAGGCGGGUCCCGGCUUCACUAUGACGCCGGGCCCGCCGCGAUAUGAUGCGGGGUCACCGUGUGACCCCGCAUUAUAUCGCAGGACCGGGACCCAGGACGUACCCAUACGUCCUAUGUCCUUAAGAGGUUAAGGGGUUAAAAUGUAUUGCCGACCUUUAUUUCCCCUGUAACUGUAGCUAAUGUGUCAGCCCCAGAUUUAAAAAAAAGUAAAUAAAAAAUUCACUAAUAUAAAUGGUAGUAUUGAGGGUGUUAGUACCCCUGGUUCUCUUUGUGCACUUUAUAACUUGAUCAUUUCACCCUUCUCUAUACCUUAAUACUACAAAACGGUUGACUCUACUUUAUAGUCUGUCCCGUACGUUUGUUUUUAGCAUCAAUUUUUUUGUUGCCUAUAUACUAAU